rnacentral:misc_RNA from 1 species
UUGUGGAGGAGGACGCCGAAGGUGGGGCUAAUGACUGGGGUGAAGUCGUAACAAGGUAGCCGUACCGGAAGGUGCGGCUGGAUCACCUCCUAACAGGGAGACAACAAAAUGUUUAAUAUUAUUAUUUUGUCACCUUAGGUCGAUCGGUAUCUCACGUUCUUAAUUUAUUAAAUAUUAAGAAUUUCAUUUCCUAAGUUUUUCUAGGUCACACCCAUUAUUUUUCCUGGGCCAUUAGCUCAGGUGGUUAGAGCGCACCCCUGAUAAGGGUGAGGUCCCUGGUUCAAGUCCAGGAUGGCCCAUAUCUCUAUGUUGGGGGUAUAGCUCAGUUGGUAGAGCGCCUGCUUUGCAAGCAGGAUGUCAGCGGUUCGAGUCCGCUUACCUCCACUGAUUACCACCUCUUCCAUAAUCUUUAGAAAGGAAAUGUUUUGAGUAGUGAUCAAAUUCUGAACGAAUCUAGCUUCCUAAUGAAAUUAUUAAGAUGCUGGACUCAUUGAAUUAAUUUCAUUGUUUUCAGAGAACCUUGACAACUGCAUAGAUUAUUUUUUAAAGACAAUAAGCAUCUUUAAUGAUGCAGAUUUUUUAUUUGUGCGAAUGCAUUAAUAACAAUUCUAUUAAGCUGAUGCUUCAAUUUGAAGUUAUUGGUCAAGCUACAA